GUCUAUGGCCAGACCACUCUGAAUGUGCCUGGUCUCAGAAGCUAAGCAGGGUUGGCUUGAUCAGUACUUGGAUGGGAGACCACCUGGGAGACCCGGUGCUGUAGACU
ensembl:rRNA 5S_rRNA 5S ribosomal RNA